ACGCAUACGCACACAGACACAGACACACUCACACAUACAGAGUGUUGUUGUUUUGUCAUUUCUAAGCUAGCUCGCUUGAAAGAAAGGAGAGAAAACAUCGGUUCGUAUUGGAAUAUGAAGAGACGGAAUGCCGAGAGUGGCAAACUGCGGCGCCCGGUGAAGCGCAGCAAAAUAACUGAUAGCAUUUACGGAAGUACAUUCCUUUACCUGAAGUUUUUUAUGGUUUGGGCUUUAGUUGUAAUGGCUGACUUCAUGUUGGAAUUUCGAUUUGAAUAUCUGUGGCCAUUUUGGUUAUUGCUAAGGAGUGUGUAUGAUUCAUUCAAAUAUCAAGGCCUGGCAUUUUCUGUAUUUUUUGUUUGUAUUGCUAUCACAUCAGAUGUCAUCUGCUAUCUCUUCAUACCUGUUCAGUGGCUUUUCUUUGCUGCUAGCACUUAUGUAUGGGUUCAUUAUGUUUGGCAUACUGAGCGUGGCAUUUGUCUUCCCACGGUGUCUUUAUGGUUAAUAUUUGUUUACAUAGAGGCUUCUGUCAGAUUACGAGAAUUAAAGAGUUUACCUUUCAAUUUAGCCCUUUGUCGACCAUUUGCAGCACACUGCAUAGGAUACCCAGUUGUCACUUUAGGAUUUGGUUUUAAAAGUUACAUUUCAUACAGAAUGAGAUUGCGUAAACAAAAAGAAGUUCAAAAAGCAAAUGAAUUUUAUAUAUUACUUUUACUGAAAGCUUUACCGCCUGAUAUUCAGAAUUCUUAUUCAGAAAAACAGCGAGCUCUUUCUUCUAAAACAGACGAAGAAGUUAUUUCAAACGGAGUUUCCGGAAAGAAAUCUCAUAAAACAGAUAACGAGGACAAAGAUAAAGCGAAACAUUUAACGAAAAACACAGACGACGACGACGAAGAAGAAUAUGAUUUUAUAGAACAGCCUUUAUCAAAAAAAUCUAAUGUAAAUGACUAUGAUGAAAACACAGAAAAUGAUCACCAUACCAAAUCGUACAAAUCUAACACAGUUUCGAAAUCACAAGGUAACAAACUAAACAGUAACAAGGAGAAUAAUUCAAAGAAAGGUAAAAAUUACAAUAAAGACAUUUCUCCGACAUUUAACAACAACAAAGAUGAAGUAAUAAACAGAUUAGAGAAUGAUGUAAAACGCUUGAAAGCAGAUCUUCAGUCUAGUCGUAAUUCCGAACAAGAGUUACGGUCACAAAUUACAAAUAUGUCCCUGUCAGACAAAUCCAUGCGGUCAGAAUUAUAUCAACUACAGCAAGACAAUGAAAAUUUACAGAACAAACUACACAAUCUGGUGACCUGCAGACAACAAGACAAACAGAAUCUCUCUAUCUUGGAGCGUAAACUACAAGAAGAGCGCAAAGGAAAAUGUGUAAUAGAGCAGCAGCUGGCUUCUGAACGGAAGGCUAAAAAAGCCGAAGAGUCUGCGACCAGAGCUGUUUUAUUGGCUGCUGCAAGGGAUGAAUGUUCAGAAAACUGCAAAGCUCGACGAAGAGAUACCGAAAAUGAUCUGAAACAGUUGCGGAGAGAAUUAAAGAUCAGAGAAGAACAGUUUAGACAGGUAGAAAGAGAAGUACAGAAUCUUCGUCAAUACAAAGAAAGCCAGAGUGAGUCAGAAAUUUUAAUGUCAGCACUUGCGGCAAUGCAAGACAAAAAUACACACCUGGAAAACAGCCUGAGCGCAGAAACCCGAUUAAAAUUGGAUUUAUUUUCUGCACUUGGGGAAGCUAAACGGGAAAUUGAAAUUCUGAAAAAUAUUGUACAGAAAAAAGAAUUGGAAAUUACAGACAUAAAAUCCAAAAUGGCAGAAGCGAUGGCACUGCUACCAUCAACCAACACAUUCAACGGUCUUCAUACAUCUACAGAAUCGUCUCCACUCUUCACCAGCAAAUACGCCAAGGAAGAUGUGAUUGUGAAAUCAAACCUGAAUCCUCACGCCAAAGACUAUGCACCGAAAACAACCAUUUGAAAUCUUCAACACUCCUUUGCUUCGGCGGCCUCUCUGCCGCCACAACAACAACAACAACAACAACACACACACGUACACUCACACAUGCAUACUUUUUUUUUUUUUUUUUUAUGUUGCGUAGCUCUUUUGGAAUUGAAGCUUGUCUAUGAAGCUGCAAUUGUUCGCCUGCCUGUCUUCAUGUUGGUUUACCAUCGGUGUGCUUCUCAAAACCUGUGAGAGGAUCCACCCACACCACCCCCCGUUUUGUUGUUUUCUUAAAAU
rnacentral:misc_RNA from 1 species